UCCCUGGUAGCUCAGUUGUUAAAGACCCUGCCUGCAAUGCAGGAGACCCCGGUUCAACUCCUGGGUUGGGGAA
rfam:TPA: Bos taurus chromosome 2, whole genome shotgun sequence.